rnacentral:lncRNA from 10 species
GAGAGAUCAGUGAUAGAUAGAUAGUGCUGGGGCUUAGAACACAAUACCCCAAAAUAUGGCACUUUGGUAUGCUGAGUAGUUGGAACUGAAGGAGACUGGAAAGGCUUCAGAAGCAAGAAGUCCUCCCUGGCCUUCUCCAACCCUCCUUUCUGCUUUCCCACUUCCCCUCUGAGCAGAUCAUAGAAACUAGAACUCCUCAUCCCAAAGCAAUUCAUAAUACCUGUAAGUGUCACUCUUUGCCCUUUUCCCUUUUCUCCUGAAGACCCUCGUGUGACAAGUAUCCUGCCCUAUACCCAGAGGAAAGAAUGCCAAACAGAGGGGCCAAAAAGAAUCUGAUUAAACAGGACUUCAUAAGUUCCCCUAGUUUAUGACCAUUAGAUCAUAACCUUUUUGUCCAAUUACAUUUCUACAUGGUUGUCCAUUCUUCAUUGAACCUAAACAUAAAAGUACACAGUUUUCCCUGUGUCUUUAGGUCUUGAUUUCUGAAGGCUCCUUAUCACAUAAAACUUUAAUUGAAUACAUUUGUUAUGCUUUUCUUUUGCUAACUGGUCUUCUGUAUUGAAGUGUCAGCCAUGACCUUAAAAGGUAUUACCUUCUCACUUUCUACCUCUACGGUUUCUGGCACCCAACAUGGAGUGGCUGAGGCACUUGACUCACUCCGGAGCCUGCAGUUGAGAUCCUGGGACAACUGACAAAAAGCCGGAAAAAAGGUUAAAAAAAAAAGUUUUUACCAAGGCAAGGAGAGCUCAGAGUGUGAAGAAAUGUGGAGAGAAGGAAUGAAUAAACAAACGAAUAGAUCUAUGAAUGGAUAAUAUAUUCAUUUCCAUCGGAAUACAUCGUCUUCAACGACAGGUGACCAACCCACUAGGAAUAUCUCUGUAAAACUAAUACAGUUGACCCUUGAACAACAGACUUGUAAUGCAUGGAUCCACUUAUACACGGAUUUUCUUCAGUCUCUGCCACCCCUGAAACAGCAAGACUAAGCUCUCCUAUUCCUCCUCCUCCUCAACCUACCCAAUGUGAAGACAACAAGGAUGAAGACCUUUAUGAUGCUCCACUUCCACUUAAUGAACACUAAGUGUAUUUUCUUGUUCUUAUGAUUUUCUUAAUAACAUUUUCUUUUCUCUAGCUUAUUUUAUUGUAAUAAUACAGAAUAUAAUACAUACAUGUACGAAAUGUGUGUUAAUCAAUUGUUCAUUUAUUGGUAAGGCU